UUCNAAUGGAGAGAUUCAUCGUCRGCGAUCCCGGCUAUGNNNNNNNNNNUCGCGAUGUCCGAUUCGCGAAAAGCGCGGGCACGCGUUCGCGUAAUUCAUUUGCCGGGCGUCGUCGUCGUGCACUUCUCCCCUAGUAGGACGUCGCGACCCGUUGGGUGUCGGUCUACGACCCGGAUGGGCGUCCGUCAUGUGCAACGCUUAACGGCGCGUCAUAUGGCGGCCCCCGGUUGUCCGACCAGCUGCCCGGCGGUACUCGCACGGUAUUGGGCCGCAAUUUGAAAUUGCGUCCGGCCCGCCGCAAGCGGAGGUCAGUGCUUCCCGGAUGUACGGACUUAGAGCCGUCACCGGGCCUGGCCAGCUGUUGGCCGGCGGUGUCCUGGGACUGGCUCUUGAACGAAAUAUACCGGUCGGCGACGCUACUGCUUUGGGUACUCUCAGGACCCGUCUUGAAACACGGACCAAGGAGUCUAACAUGUGCGCGAGUCAUUGGGAUCUGUAAAGCCUAAAGGCGCAAUGAAAGUAAAGGUAGGCCAUGACGGCAACCGAGGGAGGAUGGACCGCGUCACGAUGCGGCCCCGCACUCCCGGGGCGUCUCGUUCUCAUUACGAGAAGAGGCGCACCCAGAGCGUACACGUUGGGACCCGAAAGAUGGU
rnacentral:rRNA from 1 species